rnacentral:rRNA from 1 species
GAAUUCACUAGUGAUUUUCUGGUGAUCCCUGCCGAACCCGACUGCUAUCGGAUUGAGAUUUAGCCAUGCGAGUCGAACGCUCCCCUGUUGCGGGGGGCGUGGCGUACGGCUCAGUAACACGUAGUCAACCUGCCCUGAAGACACGGACAACCCCGGGAAACUGGGACUAAUCCGUGAUAGGUCAUCUCAUCUGGAAGGAGAGAUGGCUUAAAGGGUCGCGCGGGCUUCUUCCGCGCGUUCGCUUCAGGAUGGGACUGCGUCCGAUCAGGCUGUUGGCGGGGUAAUGGCCCACCAAACCUGUAACCGGUACGGGCCUUGAGAGAGGUGGCCCGGAGAUGGACACUGAGAGAAGGGUCCAGGUCCUACGGGGCGCAGCAGGCGCGAAACCUUCGCAAUGCGCGAAAGCGUGACGAGGUUAAUCCGAGUGGCCUCCGCUGAGGAGGUCUUUUGCAAGCCUGGUGU